rnacentral:lncRNA from 1 species
CUGAAAUGUGUAUGGGAAAUGCAACAGAAUGUGCUGUUGCUCGGGAAUCUGCAGAAAACCUGCUUCCACAGUUUGGAUAGACUGUUAAGCCAUCUUUGUCUUGCCAGCUGUCCUAGCACCACAGGAAGAUAUUUCUUGUUCCUGGGCCUGCGGGAAGGAGUGGAUGAGGGAAGGAAGGAGAGGCUGCUGCCAGGAUGUGGGGGCAGAGCCAUUCUGCCAGAUGACUGCCUUGCUGUGCCCAGCCCAUCUCUGGGGAAGCCCUUGGCCACAGAUGAAUGUGGGCAAUUA